rnacentral:rRNA from 1 species
AUGCUCCGAUCGCAGCUAGCUCGCGCCCAGGAUCGUUUCAAGAAGCAGGCAGAUCGUCACCGCGCCGAGCACGCAUUCGAUGUGGGAGAACAGGUACUGCUCAAGCUUCAACCUUAUGCCCAAACUUCAGUCGCCAAUCCCCCGUGCCGCAAGCUGGCAUAUAAGUUCUUCGGGCCCUUCCUCGUCACCGAGCGCGUGGGCACGCUCGCUUACCGGCUCCAACUCCCUCCAGACAGCCGCAUACAUCCGGUGUUUCAUGUGUGCCAGUUGAAGCCCUUCGUUCCUGACUACACACCGGUCUUUGCUGAGCUCCCCAAGGUACCGGAUCUUGCGGCCAACGAGUUACAACCGGCAGCAAUUUUGGACCGUCGCAUGAUGAAGAAAGGAGACGCGUCCGUCGUCCAGCUGCAGAUUCAGUGGGAGAACAUGCCAUCCGCAGCAGCAACCUGAGAGGAUUACUCAGUGCUUCGUCAACGUUUUCCAAAUGCCAGCAUCUGGGAAGGGGAAUCCUCUCAAGGGGGGACAAUGUCGCACCUGCGUAUGUCAGUAGCCUGCAUAUGCAGCGGACUGAAGAAGUGCAGGUUCAGAGUUGCACCUGAACUGAACCUGCAGCGCCCUGCGUGGCGAGCUGGGCCGUGGGCCUUGUAA